rnacentral:rRNA from 1 species
AUUGAACGCUGGCGGCAUGCCUUACACAUGCAAGUCGAACGGCAGCGGGGACUUCGGUCCGCCGGCGAGUGGCGAACGGGUGAGUAAUAUAUCGGAACGUACCUUUCAGUGGGGGAUAACGUAGCGAAAGUUACGCUAAUACCGCAUAUUCGGUGAGCAGGAAAGCAGGGGAUCGCAAGACCUUGCGCUGAUUGAGAGGCCGAUAUCAGAUUAGCUAGUUGGUGGGGCAAAGGCUCACCAAGGCGACGAUCUGUAGCGGGUCUGAGAGGAUGAUCCGCCACACUGGGACUGAGACACGGCCCAGACUCCUACGGGAGGCAGCAGUGGGGAAUUUUGGACAAUGUGGGCAACCCUGAUCCAUCCAUGCCGCGUGAGUGAAGAAGGCCUUCGGGUUGUAAAGCUCUUUCGGCCGGGAAGAAAUCGCGCAGGCUAAUACCCUGUGUGGAUGACGGUACCGGAAUAAGAAGCACCGGCUAACUACGUGCCAGCCGCCGCGGUAA